rnacentral:rRNA from 1 species
AACGAACGCUGGCGGCAUGCCUAACACAUGCAAGUCGAACGAGACCUUCGGGUCUAGUGGCGCACGGGUGCGUAACGCGUGGGAACCUGCCCUUAGGUUCGGAAUAACUCCCCGAAAGGGGUGCUAAUACCGGAUAAUGUCUUCGGACCAAAGAUUUAUCGCCUUUGGAUGGGCCCGCGUUGGAUUAGCUAGUUGGUAGGGUAAAAGCCUACCAAGGCGACGAUCCAUAGCUGGUCUGAGAGGAUGAUCAGCCACACUGGGACUGAGACACGGCCCAGACUCCUACGGGAAGCAGCAGUGGGGAAUAUUGGACAAUGGGCGAAAGCCUGAUCCAGCAAUGCCGCGUGAGUGAUGAAGGCCUUAGGGUUGUAAAGCUCUUUUACCCGGGAUGAUAUUGACAGUACCGGGAGAAUAAGCUCCGGCUAACUCCGUG